UACGAAGGGGGGCUAGCGUUGCUCGGAAUUACUGGGCGUAAAGGGCGCGUAGGCGGAUAGUUUAGUCAGAGGUGAAAGCCCCAGGGCUCAACCUUGGAAUUGCCUUUGAUACUGGCUGUCUUGAGUAUGGGAGAGGUGAGUGGAACUCCGAGUGUAGAGGUGAAAAUUCGUAGAUAUUCGGAAGAACACCAGUGGCGAAGGCGACUCACUGGCCCAUUACUGACGCUGAGGCGCGAAAGCGUGGGGAGCAAACAGG
rnacentral:rRNA from 1 species